GACGAACCGUGCGAACGUUGUUCGGAAUUACUGGGCGUAAAGCGCACGUAGGCGGACUAUUAAGUCAGGGGUGAAAUCCCGGGGCUCAACCCCGGAACUGCCUUUGAUACUGGUAGUCUCGAGUCCGGAAGAGGUGAGUGGAAUUCCGAGUGUAGAGGUGAAAUUCGUAGAUAUUCGGAGGAACACCAGUGGCGAAGGCGGCUCACUGGUCCGGUACUGACGCUGAGGUGCGAAAGCGUGGGGAGCAAACAGG
rnacentral:rRNA from 1 species